rnacentral:rRNA from 1 species
AUUGAACGCUGGCGGCAUGCCUUACACAUGCAAGUCGAACGGUAACAGGUCUUCGGAUGCUGACGAGUGGCGAACGGGUGAGUAAUACAUCGGAACGUGCCUAGUAGUGGGGGAUAACUACUCGAAAGAGUGGCUAAUACCGCAUGAGAUCUACGGAUGAAAGCAGGGGAUCGCAAGACCUUGUGCUACUAGAGCGGCCGAUGGCAGAUUAGGUAGUUGGUGGGACAAAAGCUUACCAAGCCGACGGUCUGUAGCUGGUCUGAGAGGACGAUCAGCCACACUGGGACUGAGACACGGCCCAGACUCCUACGGGAGGCAGCAGUGGGGAAUUUUGGACAAUGGGCGCAAGCCUGAUCCAGCAAUGCCGCGUGCAGGAUGAAGGCCUUCGGGUUGUAAACUGCUUUUGUACGGAACGAAAAGCCCCGGGUUAAUACCCUGGGGUCAUGACGGUACCGUAAGAAUAAGCACCGGCUAACUACGUGCCAGCCGCCGCCGUAA